GUUUCAAUCCCUUUGGAACAGGGCAAUGUCUUUCGAC
rnacentral:other from 1 species